UUUCAGAUGAUGGAUCCCAAGCCUUCUGGCAAUCUGCGCCUCAUAAAUGUUUGAAUAAAUAUUUUAAGAGAGGCACUCAUAAAUUUUGAGAUAGUUGAGAAGACCUUUUGUUUUUUGCGUCUGUUUUAUUGUGAUGUCAGAUUGUACCGGAGAAGGUUUUUCCGGUUUAUCCCGGAGGGCUUGUAGCUCAGUUGGUUAGAGCGCGCGCUUGAUAAGCGUGAGGUCGGAGGUUCAAGUCCUCCCAGGCCCACCAUUUAUUCCAGGCCUAUGAUUGAUUUCUAGGCAGACAUUAAUUCCAGGCUUAUCUUAUAGUUUUAGGUUUACUAUGUGUGGUUGCGUUUUUAUCUUUUAACUGCCAUGUUGUUUGGUUAAAGAGGGGCCGUAGCUCAGCUGGGAGAGCACCUGCUUUGCAAGCAGGGGGUCGUCGGUUCGAUCCCGUCCGGCUCCACCAUCAUAGGCUAUUUAUGCGUUAUGGAUCAUCAUGUUAGAGAACAAGUUUGCAAAUAGAUUUUGAUUUAUUGCUGGUUCUAGUGAAAUUUGAAGA
rnacentral:tRNA from 1 species